UACAGAGGUCUCAAGCGUUGUUCGGAUUCAUUGGGCGUAAAGGGUGCGUAGGUGGCGAGGCAAGUCUGGUGUGAAAUCCCGGGGCUCAACCCCGGAACUGCACUGGAUACUGCUUUGCUAGAGUACUGGAGAGGAGAUUGGAAUUUACGGUGUAGCAGUGAAAUGCGCAGAUAUCGUAAGGAAGACCAGUGGCGAAGGCGAAUCUCUGGACAGUUACUGACACUGAGGCACGAAGGCCAGGGGAGCAAACGGG
rnacentral:rRNA from 1 species